UCAAUCUGCAGGCAUUUGAACUAUAUUGUGCGCCUUGCAUAAAGCUUAAGCACUAAAACAGUGAGGAU
rfam:Candidatus Pelagibacter sp. RS39 genome.